UCCCACACACUGGCUGUGAACUUGUUCCCAACAAAUGAGUCUGUGGGUUGGGAAUGUCAUCUAUCUGAGCAGAUAUCUGCCCAUAUACUAUCUCAUUACCAGUAAAACUCUGAGCCUAAAGGUGACACAUGGCCAAGAGCUGCUCUGCUAUUAACCAUGCACAAUCGAUGGCAGCAAAGGUUGAAGUGAGCAUAAUCUGCAACCUUUCCAUGGAAGUCUUAAACCUUUCUCACAGUGGUUCUGCCCAUUGUCAGACAAUUAUAUUAGAGAAAGGUUUUCAUUUUCAUAGCACGUUCAGAUUUUGGAGGGAAAUGCAAAGAGCAGUGAAGGAGGAAAGGCAAACCCUUCCUCCCAGGCUUCAACAGAGUCUACCCGGGAAUCAAUGAGAUGACAGAUGUUGGAGACAGAUGCCUGAAUAUCCACUCAAUAGUCAGGCUUAAUGAACUAACACAGGAAGAGCAAUUAGAGAAUUCAUUAAUUAUACUCUAAGUUCACUUUCAUUGUUAAUUCUAAUCCUUUAUUUGGGCUAAUGACUUCAGCUUUUCUUAUAAUAAUUUGUGCCUAUCAGUGAAUGAUAACAUCUUCAAAUUUCCAUAAUUGUGUAAAAUUCAAACUAUAUGUGUAGCUCUAAAUUGGACCUAAAGUAGCUUCUAAGGGUACAUAAGACACUUCAAGAUAACAUAAAUGAGGAGAAAAACAAAAAGCCAGAAAAUGCAUGACACAGGAGAAGAUGCACCCUCAUCUGUUCAGUGAGAGAUGUGC
rnacentral:antisense_RNA from 1 species